GGCCACAUCACACUGAAACACUAGUUUCCAUACGAUCACCGAAGUUAAGCAACGUUGAGCCUGACCGGUACCCAGAUGGGUGACCGCAAUGUAAUACCAGGU